CAACCAUGUUUUCAAGUCGUCCGAUUAAUCGCGAUUAAUCGCGAUUAAUCGCCCAGCAGCAGGGAUUCAGCAAGAAGAAUAUGGAGUUUUGGACAAGAAGCUGGAGUUCUGGAGAGCAAAUAUCAAAAGUAAGUCACCAAAACCUGCAGAAUUGCUUGCUGUAUACUAUAUUGUAUAUAUAUAAUUAUAUAUACACUAUAUAGUAUAUACUGAACAUGUAGACAUAUGGACGAUUAGGGAACGACCAGGCUCGACCAGGUCGACCUGGUCGUCGACUAAUCGCGAUUAAUCGCAUGGUCGGUCCCUAGGCGACCAGGACCGACCAGCCGAUUUGAAAACAUUGCUCAGCAAUG